GGGCGCGUGGUGGAGUGGUUACCACGUCCGCUUUGCAUUUCCUGUACUAGCGGUAGGUCGCGGGUUCAAAUCCCGUCGUGUCCA
rnacentral:tRNA from 1 species